rnacentral:lncRNA from 12 species
CAACGCCAGGGCCCAAACCCUCCAUCUGCUGUAGGUGAACCAAAAACAACUGAUAGCAGCUCUCAGUGAUAUGUGUCGGGUCCCCGCUAUAAUAGCAGCAACAUUCACAAAUGUUUACAGAACAAGCGGGAACCCAGUGUGCAUGUAGCUUUCUCUAUUUCAGUUUUAUCAUGUGAUAGAAAGUCUAAGGCCUUUUCAAACCGAAGGGCAAAUUCAUCUAAUCUGCGGCCUAUAAUGCAUCAAACUAAGAUUGAUGUAAAGACACAAAGCACUGCCAUCAAGUUAGCAUUUUUAAACAUUUGCUCACUAAGAAAUAAAUCAUUUCUAAUCAAUGACUUUAUAACCACAAACGAUCUGGAUUUUAUGUUUCUAAACGAAACAUGGCUAUAAGGCAAUCCUGAAUGAAGCAGCCCCUCCUAACUUUACUUUCAUGAGUGUGUGCAGGUUGUGGCAGAUUAGUCAGAUCCUCCCUGUAGUGACGUCAUGUUAUUGGUAGCCUAUCUUCCCGCAGGGAGGUGUGUAUAAAUGGCUGUUUGGUGCGGGCCGGAUGUGCGUCAUCUGUUCUGUGCCUGCGCUCUUCCUGUUUACCGGCAUUCAACAGAGGUCUGUGGUUAAAACACAGCCGUUUGGGCAUUUUAACACCGCUUGUGUCAUUUUGUGGGGCUUUGCGUACACUGGAGAGUCUAUUGUAAACAACCGUUACGUGCGGUCUGGCUCGUUACACUGCCUAGUCCCAGGUACGUAAGAUUUAGUAUAUUGCCAGAGGUUUUAGGUGAUGUGGUGUGGGGGUCAGCUAUGUUUAUCUUUACCGCAGCAUUCCCGUGUGUUUACCGUUUGAGUGGGGACAUCCAAUAUAUGCUGUUUGGCAUCUACUUCAUUUCUAUCCCGUGGAUACUGACGUCAGCUCUGCUUUCUGGUGUGGCAAACGGCUGCGUUAUUUGGAGCUGUGUGUCCGACGGCAGUGAGGCUUUCCUUCACCGUGUGCUGUGUUAUGCUGUGUGAGCACCACUGAUAAAAUCACGGGUAUUGGAGUGAGUGUGUGUGUGUGUGUGUGUGUGUGUGUGCACUUAGUGUGAUUCUCCUCUUUUGCUCCCUCUCUUAGCCCAUUUGAUGCCAAUAGGCUACAGCUCCGAAGUAAAUGUGAAUCCUUAUUGUGGAUUGUGAUUUCCAGCUUAGUAAUUGGCUGGGUGACUAUUAUUCCUGCAUUUUAAACUUUUGUACUAAUAAACAAACUCUAUUUUGCUACCCACGUCUCUUGCUCAUUUUAUUCAGUGGAAUGAACCUGGGUUCCUUAUAACAUUUUAAGUGAACUGUGAUUCCCUGGUAUAGUCCCAGGGUGGCGUAGUCUAUUGUAUAUCUCUUGAGUGUUGAAUAUUGCUGCAAAAAGACCACUUUGCCACAUUUGUCUUUAAAUUUAUUUUCCUUUUCCUUUUGUGGUAUUAUCUAGCUGUUUAAGCUAGAAUUUAUUUCUUUUCUUUAUGUUGGAAGGGUUUCUUUUGCUCCCCUGCAUUUAAUAAGUUUUUAUUGAUUAAUUUCUAUUGAUUUGAUUUAUUCUGUUUUGUAUUACAAUUACAGGAGCUGUGUGUCCGACGGCAGUGAGGCUUUCCUUCACCGUGUGCUGUGUUAUGCUGUGUGAGCACCACUGAUAAAAUCACGGGUAUU